GACGAACGCUGGCGGCGUGCUUAACACAUGCAAGUCGAACGGAAAGGCCCUGCUUUUGUGGGGUGCUCGAGUGGCGAACGGGUGAGUAACACGUGAGUAAACUGCCCUUUACUUUGGGGUAACUUCAGGAAACUGGAGCUAAUACCGGAUAGGAGCUCCUGCUGCAUGGGGGGGGAGGGAAAGUUUCGGCGGUUGGGGAUGGACGCGCGGCUUAUCAGCUUGUUGGUGGGGUAGUGGCGUAACAAGGCGUGGAGGGGUAGCCGGACUGGGAGGGUGACCGGCCACAUUGGGACUGGGAUACGGCCCAGACUCCUACGGGAGGCAGCAGUGGGAAAUAUUGCACGAUGGGCGGAAGCCUGAUGCAGCAACGCCGCGUGCGAGAUGACGGCCGUCGGGUUGGAAACCGCUUUCGCCUGUAAAGAAGCGUGAGUGACGGUAAUGGGUAAAGAAGCACCGGCUAACUACGUG
rnacentral:rRNA from 1 species